CAUCCGCGGUCUGCCAGUGCGUCCCCCGCGAAGCUGACGUUCCCCGAGGCUUGCCUGAUUGUUUAGCUUUUCCUUCCUGCCUGUCCCAGAGAUCCAACUCCGUUCUUCCGGUCUUGUCAUUUCAGAGACCUCGCAAGAAGCUCGCCCUUGUCGUCUCCCAACGGGCUUCUUUGCUCCUAGCUUGUUUCCUGUGGGUGCACCCUUUUCAAUUCAGGCUAAUAGCUGUCCAGCGACACCAUCACUCAUUCAUUUCUCUAACAAAUAUUUCAUGGGCUCUUGCUCUGCAGUGGGGAUGUGGUGGCGAAUGAAAUAGACGAUGUCCUGCCCUCAUGAACUUAGAGUCUGGUAGAGGAAACAGACAAUAAACACAUUCUCAAUUGUUUAAGGAGGCCGAGAGGAUAGGGAGAGGCUCAGAGGAGGGAUACGGAAGCAGCAAGUGGUCAGACCUGUGCGUGCACAGGGCAGGAGGAGACCUGUGGGACGUGGGGGCAGUUGGGGACGGAACUCUGCGCAGAGGAGCCUCCUUGCCCGCUGGGGCGAGAGGGGAACCUUUCCCUGUGUGAAAUUCCCCGUGUUGUUAAAAGGGCAAUGAGGGAAAGGAAUGAGAGGUCACCUGGGUGUAUAGGCAACUUAGGCCCCCCUGAGUUCCUGCCAUGCCUCCAAUUCUAUAUGCCUGGGGAACUGCGUCCAGGUGUCCAGAACAUAAUUUUUUUCCUGCCUUUUAAACCUAUACCUUCCAGUACCUCUGGCAGAAACAUAACCCUCUUUGUUACCUGCGUGUGGAAACUUAACUCAUCUUUGUGUUACAUCUGCACCUUCUGCCUUUAUGCCUUGUUUUGUUUUCCCUCCUCCGGGAAGAAUAUAACAAACUUAGCUGAGUCUCUUCUACAUACGAAGAAAUAAUUUAUUUUCUGCUAUGUGUUUGGGGUGGGGAUAAAAAUAACAAGAAACUAGCUCCUAUCAUUAAGGCACAGAUAGCCCUUUGAGACAUUCCUUAACGGGCUAUGGAUAAGCUUCGGGAUAUUGCUGAUCCCCCCAAAUUAUAUGCUAACCUAUUUUUUUUUUUUUUAAUUUGAGACAGUGUCUCACUCUGUCACUCAGGCUGGAGUGGUAUCGCUAUCUCGGUUCACUGUAACCUCUGCCUCCCAGGCUCAGGUGAUCUCCCACUUCAGCCUCCCGAAGAGCUGGGACUGCAGAUGCACGCCACCAUGCUGGGCUAAUUUUUAUAUUUUUUGUAGAGACGAGGUUUGGCUAUAUGGGGCAGGCUGGUUUCAAACUCCUGGAUUCAAGUGAUCCGCCUGCCUCAGCCUCCCAAAAUGAUGGGAUUACAGGCGUGAGCCACGGUGCCCGACCAAUAUGCUAAUUUUUUAACAUUAAUAUCUCAACUAAAAUAAUGUUUAUAAAUUGUUUAAAAUAUGUAUGCUUAUAAUACUAAAAGACUUGUAAAGAAAAAAGGAAUUCCCUGUCCUACUCUUUGGAGGCAAUAUGCUCAACUCCACAAAUUCAUCCUGAUACUUACCUUCAUAUUUCUUUCCUUUUUUUUUUUUUUUUUUUGAGGUAGGGUUUCACUUUGUUACUCAGGUUGGAGUAAUGGCAUGCUCUUGGCUCACUGCAGCUCCAAUCUUCCUGGGCCCAAGUGAUCCUUCCACCUCAGACUCCAAGUUGCUGGGACUACAGGUGCCCUCCAAUAUGCCCGGUUAAUUUUUGUAUUUUUAGUAGAGACGGCCUUUCACCAUGUCGCCCAGGCUGGCCUCGAACUCCUGAACUCAAGCGAUCUGCCCUUGGCAUCCCAAAAGUGCUGGGAUUAGAUGUGUGAGCCACCAUGCCCAGCCUAUCUUCAUAUUUCUAAGUAAAUGUUUAGGUGGGAGAAGGGUCGGGAGAGAAAAAGAAAAAUAUAAAAAUUUAUAAAAUUUAUAAGUAAAUGUUUAUACGAUUAUUUCCUGGUUUGUUAAUUGUUAGCAUUAUGAGUUCACUUCCUGACACAGUAGAUAAGAGCUUGACUCUAUCACUUCUGCUGCCCACCAUAUAGUUGUGUAACAAUUUUUGGUUAAACCAAUGAUAUGCACCCAACUGUAUUAAAAUUAUUAUGUAUGCAAAUAUUAUUUACUGAUGAGCCAAGAAAUGCACUACAAUCAUGACUUCUAGUUUGUAUGGCCCUUCAUUUUUCUUAGGGUUAAUUAUUGCUUUUCUCUCAUUUGUCUGGUUUUCUAAACACAGUAUUUACAGUUGGCUUUUCCCCUCAAAUGCUCUAAGACUCUAUCAAAAAGUCUAGCAAUAAUAUUUUCCGUAUAGUCAAUAUGUAAGUUUUCUUUGGAGCUUUGGUCCCAGAGCCUUCCUUCCUCUUGUUUCAGUCUGGACUGGCUGCUCACUAGACUUGCUGUCAUUCUGGAAUUUUCCUUCAUUGCUGUUCUGGGCUGGUUUUCCCCAUUUCCUAGAUCCCAUGUCUUCCUCUUUCUUGGUUUACUUCCUUGUUUUGCUAAAGCAUCUCCUUUAGUAGCUUCCUGAGAAAAGGAGCUGGGGGAUACAUGUUGUUAAAAUCUUCGCAUAUUUGUAAAUGUCUUACUUCUGUUUAACACUUGAUCUGUUGUUGGGCUAGAUAUUUAAGUUUGAAAAUAAUUUUCCCUUAUUAUUUUGGAGGUAUACUACAUUUUCUUAUACCUUCUAGGGUUGCAAUUAAAAAAAUUCCGAUUUAUAUUUCUGAUCCUUUCUGAUCCAUCUCCCCCAUCUGCGGAGGAGGCCUUAGGAUUUUCUCUCUUUAACCUGUUGGUUAGAAAUUUUAUAAUGAUGUGCUUUAUUGUACCACUUUCUUUUCUUUUUUCUUUUUUUUGAGAUGGAGUCUUGCUCUGUUACCCAAGCUGGAGUGCAAUGGCACGAUCUUGGUUCACAGCAACCUCUGCCUCCUGGGUUCAAGCAAUUCUCCUUCCUCAGCCUCCUGAAUAGCUGGGACUACGGGUGCAUGCCACCAUGCCAGGCUAAUAAUUUUUGUAUUUUUAGGAGAGAUGGGAUUUCACUAUGUUGCCAGGCUGUUUUUGUACUGCUAACCUCGUGAUCUGCCUGCCUUGGCCUCCCCAAGUGCUGGAAUUACAGGCAUGAGCCACCUGUACCACUUUCUCAAUUUGUUGUACUGAGCACUGAUUCAAAGUAGAAAUUCAUAGAGCUGAGCAUGGUGGCCCGUGCCUGUAAUCCUAAUACUUUGGGAGGGUGUGCAGGGAGGAUUGCUUGAGUCCAGGAGUUUUAGGCUACAGUGAGCUAGGAUCACGCCACUGCACUCCAGUCUUUAUGACAGAUAAUUUGUCUUAAAGAAAAAACACAAAAAACAAAAUGCUCUUUUCAUCUUGCAAAACUGAACUCUCAACCAACCCACUGUUUGUUUUUUACUGUGGGGUGUCUCCUUGCAUUAUCUUCAACCAUUUCAAUUUUUUUUUUGAGAUGGGGUCUUGCUCUGUUGCCCAGGCUAGAGUGCAGUUGGCAGUCUUAGCUCAUUGGCUCAAGCGAACCUCCCACCUCAGCCUUCCAAGUAGCUGGGACCACAGACUUGUGCCACCACAUCUGGCUAAUUUUUUGAUUUUUGUAGAGGUGAGGUCUCCCUAUGUUGUACAAGGCUGAAGUUUCAGUUUUCUUAUUUUUAAUUCCCAAGAACUUUUUUCCUGCUGAGUGUCUCUUUUCCGUGUUAUUUUAUCCUGGUUUUAUGGACAGGCAUAACUUUUCCUAUCUGUGAGGAUAUUAUAACAGUAAAUUUGUUUUCAGUUUUUCUUUUCCUCUCUGCUUUGUCUCUGUUUCCUUGGGUCCUUUUUAAUGCUAAUUUUUUGGCAACCCUUAUGUUAAUGGCCAUCUGAAACUUCGGUCUUCUUUAGCAAUCUAUUCAUCUUUAAGAAUGAGACACUGAAAAGCCGAGUGGAGACUCUUAAGUGUUUGGGCAAGAUGAGUUGACUGGCUCCUUGCUACUCAAAAAGGACCAGCAGCAUUGACAUCAUCUGGGAGCUCACUGGAAAUGGAGAACCUCAGCCUACAGAACCUCAGCCUAAAUCUGUAAUCAACAGAUUUAGAAUCUGCAUUUUAACAAGAUCACUAGGUGAUUCAAGUGCAUAUUAUGUUUUGAGAAGCACUAGAUUCACCACAAGUUGCGCAGAUGAUGUGCCAGACAUCGAAUGUCAAUAUUAGGAGGUCGUCUCUUCAGGGAAGAAUCCUCCAGUUGUGUUUGGAAAGUGGUUGUUCUUAAGGAGCCAGAAAUUUGCUGCUUUCAGUCUUGAAGAUAGAGGCUAGAGGUCAUUCUGGGGUUUUGUGGCUGUGUGGCUAUUCUCCAGUUCGUCCUCCAGAUUCACUCUUCAUUCUUUUUCACCCCUCCAUCAGCUGGACUCCCUUAUGCCUGGGUGUUUGGUUAGCAAAUAAGGAGCCCAGAAGCAGGAAGGGGAACAGAAAUAGCACUAGUAGGAGGAGGCAAGAGAGUAAUAUCAGGCUAUUUAAUCUUGGCUUUCCUUCAUCUUUUGAGGUUGCCUCAUGCUGGCUGUGUCCAUCAACCUAAUGUUACUGCUCCUCUCACAGUGGCCACCUCAGCACAACUCUUUCCUUCCUUCCUGGUCCUGAUCCCUCUCCUCAACCCUUUGGGCUUAGGGAUAGUAUUAGCUCGGCUACUGUUAGUCCUGAGUUGCUGCAUUGUCUCUUGUGGUUCCCCUGCAUCCACAGUUUUGUAAAUACUCCUUCUUAAAUACAUUCUCCUCAAAUUGUCCUAUCUUGAGGGUGCCAUCUGUUUCCUAUGGGAUAAAACCUAACAUGGUGGGGUUGGGGAAGAGUGAUGUCAUAGAAGAUGACAAGGUAGAAUUGAUCCCUUCACUGAAACAACUAUUGGACUUGCAAGAAUUGUCACAAUCAACUAUUUGGAGCUCUAGAUUCUAGUGGAGCACUUGCAGCAUUGAAGGGAGUACUUGAUGAGGAAAGAGGCUGGGCCUCACUCUGUUGCCCAGGCUGGCAUGAAGUGGUACAAUUUCAGCUCACUGCAACCUCUGCCUCUAGAGUUCAAGUGAUUCUCCUGACUCAACCUCCUGAGUAGCUGGAACUACAGAGCCAGCAGCAGUUCCUGGUGGAUUGAAUGUUGAGUGUGAGAGAUAAAGAGGCAUCAGCGAUGAGUCCAUGAGUUUUGGCAAUUGGAAGAAUAGUUGCCAUCCAUCGAGCUAAGGAUGGAGUACAGUGGCAUGAUCUCAGCUCACUGCAACCUCUGCCUCCCAAGUUCAAGUGAUUCUCCUGUCUCAGCCUCCUGAGUAGCCGGGACUACAGACCCUGCACUUGAUGGAUAAGCUGGCACCACCCAGAUCGAUAAACUGGCUCAUCUGAUCUGUGGCUCCGACCCAGGAACUGACUCUGCACAAAAAGACAGCUCAGACUCCCUAUGACUUCAUCCCUGACCAGUCAGCAGUCCUGGCUCACUGGCUUUCCCUACCCACCAAGUUGUCCUUAAAAACUCUGCUCCCUGAUUGCUCGGGGAGACUGAUUGGAAUAAUAAUAAAACUCCAG